AGCAAGUAAGCUAGUGUAGCAGUUGGUCUUGUAAACCAAAAGGGGUCCGCCGUUUGCUG
rnacentral:tRNA from 1 species